UCGAACAUGAGGGGAGACUGUCGCUGGCUUCGGAGCGAUCUGAAGCAUGUGCACGUUUCUUUUCUUACACACCACACACACCUGUGCACACGUUGUAGGCUCCUCGAGAGGGGGGACUACGUUUAUCUACAUCCACAUCCUUACGGUAUGUAACAUGUAUGGCCAGAAGGUAUCUAGGCUGUCGCCCGACCGGAGUCGAACAAAUAUUA
rnacentral:misc_RNA from 1 species